GACCUCGGUAGCUAAGCGGUUCAAAGCAGUAUGGCGUAAACCUCAAGAACUGGGUUCAAAUCCCAGUCGAGUUU